UGUGCAGGUGGUGCUAAAACACCCAUGCCUGACGAUGGGGCAACAGGAAACAGGUGUCCGGCACGGUAUUACUGUCCACAGGGUUGUACAUCGCCUCUACACUGCCCUGAUGGAACACAUUCAAAUACCACAGGUGCUGCAGAAUGCAGUGACUGUCCCACUGGAUGGCUGUGUCUGGAGGGGGAGGAGCUCCAGUUGUGUCCAGAAGGACAUUACUGUCUGGGGGGCACAGUGGAGGACAUCCUCCCUUGCCCUCCAGGCACAUACAGCCCUAAAGCAGGACAAAGCCAAGUAGAGCAGUGUUUACUGUGCUCAGCUGGUGAGAGCAGUGCCCCUGCUUUACUUACACCUUUGGCAGUUUUAAUAGCAUUGGUGUAGUAUUAUGUUCAUCAUACACACCUAUCAUUUUAAGGAAUGUACUGUGAAGAUUGGGGACUAGUUGAACCUACUGGUCCCUGCCAGGCUGGGUAUUUUUGCCUCACAGGCAUAAACUUCAAGAAUCCUGAUUCAAAUAUUAGCACAGGGGUGGGUGGGCCGUGUCCUGUGGGUCAUUACUGUCCUGAGGGCACCAGCCUUCCUUUACCCUGCCCACUUGGCACCUUUUC